UUAUAAUGUAUAUUUUAUUGUAAAAUAAAUUAACACAAAUUUGUACACAUGCUGUUAUGAGGAUGUCCUGUUAACAUUUGUUUUCCUUGAAUGAUAUCAUACUCAUAAAUACUUCCUGUUCCUAAUAGACAUAAUAUGAACCCUUUAUUUUACUCAAGACAUUUUUGGCCUAUUUUAUGAGCUGUGAAGAUACUUUGCACCUGGCAAAACAAGUACACAAGUCUAAUUUUUCUGUACUGAUGUGAUUUAAUAUGAAAAAUUCAGUAGCGGCACUACUAAUAUAGUUGCUCUGUCAUGAUAAAUUGCUUGUUCUUUUCCUUAUUUAUAAGUCACUUUGGAGAAAAGCGGCUACUAAAUGAAUAAAUGUAAGUAAUUUAAUGUCACACACAGAUAGAGAUAUAAGAGGGAGCAGUGAAAUGAUUAGAGGAAGAGCCAUUCCAAUUCAGAGUCCAAAGCCACAGAAGACCUUCAGACACACACACGUACACGCUCUCUCACAAGGCCAUGAUAAAAAAUUUAUGACCUGCUUACACAUCUGAGGCAUCAAUUUCCCUCACAGGAAAUUAAUAAAAGCGGCUGGAGAGAAAUCAGGUGCAUGAGAUUGUACAUGGGUUUUUUUGUUUCUUUUUGUGUUUGUGUCUAUGAAUCAGCCUUCCACAUUCAAUGUUGUGUAAAAUAAAAUUCAAUCUAAUCCACACUAACAUGAUUUUUUUGUCAGCUUGUGUGUGCAUCUGUGCUUGAGUUACUAUUGUCUGAGAGGAGAUGCGAUGAAAUGGCUCUAUAUUAACACCGUAUGAAGGUCAUACAUACAAAGUUAUGUUCUGUUGUAUAGCCUUACAAGUUGGCUGUUCAAACCUCCCUCAUUUUUGAGCAUUAAAAUAAGCCAAUGAUCCUCGGAAUUGCUAUAUAGGUCUCUUCUUUACUAGGUUUUGCCAUUAAUUUACACUUUACCAAUAAUAACGUGUUUGUUUACCUGCAGAGUCAUUGGAGAUUCGGAUCAGCUUAUGUCCGUGGCAUUAGAGUGUAUCUACAGCUGUGAGAGAGACGACCAGCUUGCACUCUGCUAUAAUAUUCUUGAAUGUCUGCUACAGAGAGGAUAUGGACCAGAUUUGGACUCUACAAAAGCCUUGCAUGACUAGGUGGACCCUCUUGAGAAACACUUGCGUGUUGUUUAGGUGUUGGAGAAACACGUCCUCCAGAAGCCCAUCUCGUUCGUGAGGAACAGUCAAAAUGGCAAAGAGGAAGUUCACCAGCUGAUGGUCCUACUCAACCGUCACACAGGACACAAAAACCCUCCUGUGAGUGGGAGAGUGUGGAGAAGUUUACUUCAAGAUCUCCUGGACAUGCAGCAGAAUGUUUAUACCUGUCUAG